AAAUGGUUCAUGAAGGAGGUAUUGGGGCUCAAAAUUUAGUAUUCAGAUUGGAAUAGGAAGCUGUCAAAUACUUGAUUGGAUUAUCUUAUAUUUCUUUCAAUUAAUAAGUGCGAUCAUUCUCAUCUUUCUUAUACUUGUUUUUAAACAAGAUAUAAAAAAGCGUGAAAUUUUUGAGUUGAUAUCAAUGAUUUGAUUAUUAGUUGUUGAAGUUUUAAUUUACUACGGGAUUUUAUUUAGGAUUUUUCUAUGAUUUGAGUAGGGCUUAGGAUUUGGUUUAGGAUUUGGUUAGGAUUAGGAUUUAUUUGGGAUUUGGUUUAGAACUUGACUAAAAAUUGAUUAAAAUUUGUUUAGUAUUUUGUAGGAUUUAAGGUUUCAUUAAGAUGUGACAUAUAAUUGGAUAAGAUUUAAUUAGGAUUUUAAUUAAGAUUUAAUUUAAGAUUUGGUUAAGGUUUAAUUAAGAUUUUAAUUAGAAUUAU
rnacentral:lncRNA from 1 species